GAAACUGCUGAUAGAUUCAUAUCGAAUGAUAAAGAACUUCUUGACGACAUAUCAACACAUAGUAAAAAUUCCAAAACCAAUGGUGAAAAUACGAUUAAAGAGGAGGAAAAUGAAUGUAAAGAUGAAGAAGAGAAAGGAAACGAGCUACAAAAUUCGCCUGAACCUCCAAGUUUUCGAAUUUAUUGCGUUUUCCCUAGAGAUUCUAACGACGAUGACAAAGACGUCGUUGAUGACUUGCAACAAAACAAGUACAUUUCGGACGAAAACAAGGAUCAGCAGAAAGGGAAGAAGAGGUCACAAGCAGCAGUAGGAAAUAAAAUAAGAAGAAGGUUUAACGAUGUCAAAAAGCUUCUAAUACCAC